rnacentral:rRNA from 1 species
AUGUCCCGUUAUCGAGGACCUCGUUUAAAAAAAAUACGCCGUCUGGGGGCUUUACCAGGACUCACUAGAAAAACAUCUAAAUCUGGAAGUAAUCUUAAAAAAUUCAAUUCUGGGAAAAAGGAGUAAUAUCGUAUUCGUCUUCAAGAAAAACAGAAAUUGCGUUUUCAUUAUGGUCUGAGAGAACGACAAUUACUUAGAUAUGUACAUAUCGCUGGAAAAGCAAAAAGGUCAACAGGCCAGGUUUUACUACAAUUACUUGAAAUGCGUUUGGAUAAUAUCCUUUUUCGAUUGGGUAUGGCUUCAACCAUUCCUGGGGCCCGCCAAUUAGUCAACCAUAGACAUAUUUUAGUUAAUGGUCGUAUAGUCAAUGUAGUGAAUUGGGAACAAGAAGAAAAAGAAAAAGCUGGUGCUUCCCUUGUUGAGGUAAGAGCAAAUGAUCUUAUUCGCGACUAG